UUAAUUUUACGAGCAUGCGCACUUGAGGAGUUUGUGAAAAAUCCGUGAAGCGAAGAAAAUUUUUCUUGCGGUCCUGGACCUGACAAGUGGUCUUCUUGAUUAGAAAUUCAAUUACAUCGGCAUCAGAGGUACCAUACAGUGUAGGUCUCUAUGGAUUAUCUCCAUCUUCUUCACAGCUUUAAAUUACUAAGAGCUACCUUUCCCAAGACAUUGUGGGCUACAUGAUGCUAAAAAUCCAUCGAAAUCGUACAAGGAUGGGCCAUCUCGAGAUCAGUAUCGACUCAAAAGAAACCGUCACCAAUAUGCUGGAAGCCGAAAUGAAGAGGGACACACAGCUCAGAGGAUAGAUCAACUUCCUGUUUAUUUGCAGGUGUUGACAACUCCAUUUUUAUGCAGUGGGAUCAUUUUAAAAGAUGCAUGGUGAUGAGGCAGCAAUAUCGCAGUCAAUGUGUCAGAAGC